rnacentral:rRNA from 1 species
UACAGAGGGUGCAAGCGUUGUUCGGAAUUAUUGGGCGUAAAGCGUGCGCAGGCGGUGAUGUAAGACAGAUGUGAAAUCCCCGGGCUCAACCUGGGAACUGCAUUUGUGACUGCAUCGCUGGAGUGCGGCAGAGGGGGAUGGAAUUCCGCGUGUAAGCAGUGAAAUGCGUAGAUAUGCGGAGGACACCGAUGGCGAAGGCAAUCCCUGGGCCUGCACUGACGCUCAUGCACGAAAGCGUGGGGAGCAAACAGG